rnacentral:rRNA from 1 species
CCCUUAUAUAUCUCUGUCCAAUUUCCUUGUCCAAACACUCAAACGUAUCCACUGUGCACUUAUCUAAUCCUUUGGAUUAGAUCCGGGAAGGCUAGUCAAGGCGUUGAGGCCUUGUCGCCGCACGGAUCCACUUCUCCCUUAACCCGACAAAAGGAUUAGUGAGAAAGGACUGUGACACCUACCAUAGUGGUGACAAGUGACGGAGAAUUAGGGUCCAAUUCUGGAGAGGGAGCCUGAGAAAAGGCUACCACAUAUAAGCAAGACAGCAGGCGCGCAAAUUACCCAAUCCUGAGACGGGGAGGUAGUGACAAUUAAUAACAAUACCGGGCUCAAUGAGUCUUGUAGUUGGAAUGAGUACAAUCUAAAUCCCUUAACGAGGAUCCAUUGGAGGGAAAGUUUGGUGCCAGCAGCUGCGGUAAUCCCCGCUCCAAUAGCGUAUAUUUAAGUUGUUGCAGUUAAAAAGCUCGUAGUUGGACACUGGGUUGGGACGUCCGGUCCUCCUUUCGGUGUGCACCGGCCGUCUCGGCCCUUCUGCCGGCGAUGCGCUCCCGGCCUUAACUGGCCGGGUCGUGCCUCCGGCGUUGUUACUUUGAAGAAAUUAGAGUGCUCAAAGCAAGCCUACGCUCUGUAUUUAUUAGCAUGGGAUAACAUCAUAGGAUUUCGAUCCUAUUGUGUUGGCCUUCGGGAUCAGAGUAAUGAUUAACAGGGACAGUCGGGGGCAUUCGUAUUUCAUAGUCAGAUGUGAAAUUCUUGGAUUUAUGAGAGACGAACAACUGCGAAAGCAUUUGCCAAGGAUGUUUUCAUUAGUCCAGAACAAAAGUUAGGGGCUUAAAGACAAUCAGAUACCAUCCUAGUCUCAACCGUAAACGAUGCCAACCAGGGAUCAGUCAUGUUGCUUUAAGGACUCCACUGGCACCUUAUGAGAAAUCAAAGUAUUUGGGUUCCGGGGGUAGUAUGGUCGCAAGGCUAAAACUUAAAGGAAUUGACGGAAGGGCACCACCAGGAGUAGAGCAUGCGGCUUAAUUUGACUCAACACGGGGAAACUUACCAGGUUCAGACAUAGUAAGGAAUGACAGACUGAGAGCUCUUUCUUGAUUCUAUGGGUGGCGGUGCAUGCCUGUUCUUAGUUAGUGGAGCGAUUUGUCUUGUUAAUUUCGUUAACGAACGAGACCUCAGCCUGCUAACUAGCUAUGUGGAGGUGCCCCUCCACGACCAGCUUAUUAGAGGGACUAUGGCGAUUUAAGGCCACGAAAGUUUGACGCAAUAACAGGUCUGUGAUGCCCUAAGAUGUUCUGGGCCGCACGUGCGCUACAGUGAUGUAUUCAACGAGUCCAUAGCCUUGGCCGACAGGCCCGGGUAAUCUUUAAAAUUUCACCGUGAUGGGGGUAGAUCAUUGCAAUUAUUGAUCUUAAACAAGGAAUUCCUAGUAAGCGCGAGUCAUCAGCUCGCGUUGACUAUGUCUCUGCCCUUUGUACACACCGCCCGUCGCUCCUACCGAUUGAAUAGUCCGGUAAAGUGUUCAGAUCGCGGUGACGCGGGCGGUUUGCCACCGGAGAAGUCGUAACAUGGUUUCCGUAGCUGAACCUACGGAACGAUC